GUGCAGUUUACCGUGUACUAAUGUACCAAUGUAAUUUCAAUUAGGCGUGCCUCUGUUUGAUGUGCUAUUCAAGAUCCCUGUACAAUUGUGUUAUUCAAGAUACAAUGGCACUCGAUGAUGCUUGCUAAGAAGGUCUGCAAUAUGCACUGGACUGUUGCUUGCCAGAUGACUGGAAGAUGGGUACUUCAUCCUCUCUUGUUUGUUCAUUUGAAGCAAGAUAAAUAAGAUUCAUGCAUUGUAAUGAAAACUGCAGAUUUAGCUAAACUCAACUGAUGGUGUAAUAUCUCUUCCUAUGAGCAGCAGUAAUGGUAUCUUCUGUAGGACUAAUAAGGCAUUGCUGCAUAAAUAUACUUGACUUUCAAAUGAGCAUGUCAAGAGGUUUAAUUAAUGUCGGUCCCUACUCUAAUUAUAUCUGGAUAUCUGGUUCCUGUACCAUUUGAAACUUAUCAAUCCGAUGUAUAGAAUAACAGAAAUUUGCUAGAUAAGCUAACGUUACAAGGGGAAGUAAACAUUAAACAUUUCAUAUGGUGAUUUGGAAUAACUGAUAUGUCAUCAUCGUGUGUUUCCUAUUGUAGAUAAAUUUGCUUGCAAGGCUCUUGAUGAUAUAUCCACUUUCAUCAAAUGCUUAAGGGUAUGGUCAAUUGGAGAAGACAUUACUAUGACUACAAAGAUCUGUUUUUUUAGGUGAUGAAUUGUAACCUUAUAUUCUUUAUUACUUGGAAUUGAAAAUCACUGGAAGCAAUCCGUAAUUACUUCGGAGAGAAUCUUUUACUCUUUUCUGUCUUGCUCUUGUUCAGCAUAAAAUGGAGUAUAUCAUUAUCACUAUCAUGGUGUAUUGUUGCCAUUGAGGAAUCUUCCCAUGUAGCAAAUUUACCUAGAAAAUACAAAACUUUGGCAUAUCACCAUCAGGUGCAGACGUACUCUUUCUCCCAAAUACUACAGCAGUAUCCCUACAAUCAGAUGUACAAAAAUUUGCUUGCUAAAAAACUAAUCAAUAAACCAUGAAAUUUAAAUGGAUUAAUUAAGGAUCAAGCCACUCACCUUGUGGCUACAAUCGACCAGAUUCAUCUCUCCACGUUUCUGCAUGUGAAGAAUUGAUCAGUGCCCCAAGUCAAAACUACUGCAUACCUUAU
rnacentral:lncRNA from 1 species